GCACUGCUGAGGAGUCCCAUAAUAGGAUGAAACGAUUGUCCAGUGU
rfam:Schistosoma mansoni strain Puerto Rico chromosome 6, complete genome